AGAAACUCUCCACACUUCCACUCAGAACAGCAGUUGCAGCAGUUGCCAAUAUCGGAGAAGGAACCGCCAUUUACCGCACGUUCUAAAGACCUCAAAUCAUCACUUAACCCCCACAAUAUAUACAAAAAGUAAACAAACUCACUUUCGUUUUCUGCACAGACUCAUCUCCUCCGAGUGGUUUUUAGAAGUCUCUUCUGAAUUUCAUCAGAUCUCUCCCGUCGGUUAGACUCAUCUUACAUUGAUACGACUUACUCUUUCUCCAAAGUGAAUUUCAGUUUCGUUGGAUUCUAUUUAGUUGCCAAGAAUCAUCUCACACUGAUUUUGGCUCUCUAAGUAUUUUCGUAGUUUCCAAUGGCUUGAAGCUCUUCAAGGUUCAUCAAGUGCGUGACUCUGGGAGAUGGGGCUGUGGGGAAGGCCUGUAUGCUUAUUUGCUACACCAGCAACGAGUUUCCCACUAUAUGUUCUUCUUUUCUGCCAAAAAGAAUUUGACUAAUUUGUGUGACUUUUGGGUUUUUUGGAUUACUUUAUGUGGUUAUGUAUCUGGGUUGAGUUAUUUCUUCACACACUCAUUGAGUCUUUUUUCUUUUUAGUUUCUUGGCUAUGUGCUUCUAGUUCUGGAAUUGGGUCUCUUUAUAUUUUGUAAAUCUAUAAACUAAUAUUUACCAA